rnacentral:rRNA from 1 species
AGGAUUAACGCUGGCGGCGUGCCUAACACAUGCAAGUCGAACGGGGGUAGCAAUACUCCAGUGGCAGACGGGUGAGUAACACGUGGUCAACCUUCCCUUUUGUGGGGGAUAACUAGCCGAAAGGUUAGCUAAUACCGCAUACGGUCUCCGCCGGGCAUCCGGCGUAGAUAAAAGAAGCAAUUCGCAAAAGGACGGGACCGCGUCCCAUUAGCUAGAUGGUGGGGUAAUGGCCUACCAUGGCUCCGAUGGGUAGCUGGUUUGAGAGAGCGACCAGCCACACUGGGACUGAGAAACGGCCCAGACUCCUACGGGAGGCAGCAGUGAGGAAUUUUCCGCAAUGGGCGCAAGCCUGACGGAGCGACGCCGCGUGUGGGAAGAAGGCCUUCGGGUCGUAAACCACUGUCGAAGGGGAAGAUAAUGACGGUACCCUUGGAGGAAGCCCCGGCUAACUACGCGCCAGCAGCCGC